GUGCAGCUUCUGAAACAUGGCCCUACCAUGAUGUCCUUUCAUGACGCUGCCUUCGCACACACAUUAGCGUAAAGGAACUCGGUACUUGGGGGAAAACAAUGAAAUGAAUGAAUCAUCUCUCCCUUCUCUUCCAACCAACCAACAAAUGAAUGGACCACCAUCAACAAAAGUGGCUCCUCUAAAGGAAAAAUUGACAUUUAAAACAAUUUGCGGCCAGGUGCUGUGGCUCACACCUGUAAUCCUAGCACUUUGGGAGGCCAAGGCGGCGGAUCAGGAGGUCAACAGAUCGAGACCAUCCUGGCCAACAUGGUGAAACCCCAUCUCUACUAAAAAUAUGAAGAUUAGUUGGGUGUGGUGGCGUGUGCCUGUAAUCCCAGCGACUCAGGAGGCUGAGGCAGGAGAACCACUUGAACCCGGGAGGCGGAGGUUGCAGUGAGCCAAGAUCAUACCACUGCACUCCAGCCUGGUGACAGAGCGAGACUCAAAACAACAGCAACAACAACAACAGCAACAAAAACAAUUUGCUCUGUGUUUGGAGUCACCUUCAACUUUAAAUAAAUGUUAAAGUACUGGCAUAAAUAUUAGACCACAGAGUUAGUUUUCCAAGAGAUACCACUUGUUUCCAUUUCCUAUGAAUCGAAGUUACUUCAUUUUUUCUUCUUUCUGUUUGGUAGAAGUUUGACCUCAGUCAAUUCAAGUGGUACCUAAUUUUGGGUAAUCCUCAUUCUUGAGGUUACCCAUUAAUCUUGGGGGAGUUGAUGAGUGUGGUGCUUGUUUAUUAUCUGUUCAGGCUGCAGGCUGGCCUGUGUCACUAGACCACGUGGGUUACAGCCGUGUUAAAGUUUAGGAUAUUCUCAGGUAUGACUCCACGUCUGAUACUUCUUUGAUCCUCUGUAAGACUUGGGGAAAUUUGAAUACUUUUUUACUGUUCUCUAGGUCAAGGGAAACUCUGCAGGCUGUCUCUGGCCAUGGUGCCAUAUCUUUUCUACCCAUCCUUAGCACUACAGAACUUUGCCUCUUUGCUGGGAUGGGGGUUGUUGAGAACAGGGAGAUGACUUUGGGCUCUUGUGCUUUUUUCUAAGCUCUCUUCUCUUGAAUAUUUAAAUAUUUAACGUGUUGUCACUUUCCCUUCCUCACCCUUAUGACAGAAAGCUUACAGUUGAGGAAAGGAGGAUGGUAAAGGUAUUAAAUAGCACAUCCUUUGAAAUCAUUUUUAUGUUAUACGGAGACUUAUUUUGGCUCCCUCAAUCAGUUUACCCAUAACAACUCUCCCUAGAGAAAAUGAAUGCUCAGUUGGGAUUAGAGAAAUCAAUGGGGAAAAAAACCUUCACAGAGACUGUGAAAAGUUAAACAUAUUCUCUAUGUCAUGCA
rnacentral:lncRNA from 1 species